AUCUUCAGGGUCGGGUGAAAAUCCCAACCGGCGGUAUAGUCCGCGACCCAUCGGCGGUAUGUUCCGGAGAGCAUAUUGCAGAUGGCUGAGCCGUUGAAACUACGGCACCGACGGUAAAGUCCGGAUGGAAGAAGAU
rnacentral:ncRNA from 1 species